UGCCUGUAAGUGGAGUAAAGAUAGAGCGAGAAAAUGCAACUGUGGUAGCAACACUGUUCACUGAGGAUCAGAAUGUUGAGUCCAGUUGCUUGUUUCUCUCCUAACUCGCAGGAGACUCUAGAGACAAGGUGGGUCAAGGCGAUGGAAGCAUUUGAAGAAAAUCUGACGGGAGAAACGUAGCCAUUUUGAGAACAAGGCCGUGAUCCUGGUUCAACAAGAACAACAAGGUGAUAAUUGCUGCCUGGAUGUGCUGGCCAUACGUAGACCAUGCUUUCAAUGGGAAGUGACAGCACCAACAGCAAUCCAGCCUCAGACUGAACCUACAAUCAAUUCUAUCCUAGCAACCGAACAGUUUAAAUCCUUCGUGAAAAGAACAAGAAGCCAUUAAGGAUGUGAAAAGGAUUUGCAAACCUGGACAAUUCUCAGCAGGUUCACAAUAUCAGUAGUGACUGCAAGGGUGUGGAGAGACAGGAGUAGGAGGCUUAGCUCAGGGGGGCAAUUGGUCCUGGCAACUUGAGUUCUGAGAUUAAGAGGGAGUCUUAGGUAACUUUGCCUGAUGCUGACACAGGAGAAACUGACAGGCAUAUGUCAACAGUCUGUGGAAUUUGUGAGCUUGAUGGCUCAAUGACAAUUUGUGAUCCAUUCUUUCUGACAUUCUUACAACAAGGUUGGAUCUCAAUUAUCUUUGUAAAUUUCACCAAAAGGAACUUGAUGUAAAGAAUCUGCAAAUAA